rnacentral:rRNA from 1 species
AAACUUUCAACAACGGAUCUCUUGGUUCUGGCAUCGAUGAAGAACGCAGCGAAAUGCGAUAAGUAAUGUGAAUUGCAGAAUUCAGUGAAUCAUCGAAUCUUUGAACGCACAUUGCGCCCCUCGGUAUUCCGGGGGGCAUGCCUGUUCGAGCGUCAUAU